UACGUAGGUCCCGAGCGUUGUCCGGAUUUAUUGGGCGUAAAGCGAGCGCAGGUGGUUUAUUAAGUCUGGUGUAAAAGGCAGUGGCUCAACCAUUGUAUGCAUUGGAAACUGGUAGACUUGAGUGCAGGAGAGGAGAGUAGAAUUCCAUGUGUAGCGGUGAAAUGCGUAGAUAUAUGGAGGAACACCGGUGGCGAAAGCGGCUCUCUGGCCUGUAACUGACACUGAGGCUCGAAAGCGUGGGUAGCAAACAGG
rnacentral:rRNA from 1 species